GCAUAACGCGAAGAACCUUACCUAGGCUUGACAUGCAUCUCUAAGCACGUGAAAGCGUGUGACCCUUCGGGGAAUUUGCACAGGUGCUGCAUGGCCGUCGUCAGCUCGUGUCGUGAGAUGUUGGGUUAAGUCCCGCAACGAGUGCAACCCUUGUGACUAGUUGCCAGCACGUUAUGGUGGGAACUCUAGUCAGACUGCCCAGAUCAACUGGGAGGAAGGUGGGGACGACGUCAGGUCAGUAUGGCCCUUACGCCUAGGGCUGCACACGUACUACAAUGCCCAGCACAAUGAGAACCGAGACCGCGAGGUGGAGGAAAUCUAAAAAACUGGGCCCAGUUCGGAUUGGAGGCUGCAACUCGCCUCCAUGAAGUUGGAUCGCUAGUAAUGGCGCAUCAUCUACGGCGCCGUGAAUACGUUCCCGGGUCUUGUACACACCG
rnacentral:rRNA from 1 species